rnacentral:lncRNA from 1 species
CCUAUAAAAGGGAAUUUCCAUGCCAUAACACACAAGUUUGGCAGCCCAAAAACUCCCUCAAAAGUGUGCUCUCCAGUUUCAGAUUUAAGAUCUGAAAUCCAAACUUCAAAAUUCCAAAAACAAUAGAAAACCUCCAAAAAACUUAAGAAAAACGAGUAAAAUACUGUUCCAUUGAAGUUUCUCAAUUAGUUUCUGCAUUUCAGCUUUCAAAUCAACCUGUUAGCUUAGUUAGGAUCAAAAUUACUUGAAUUUUCUCUGGUUUCUGUUCAAUUUGGAGAAAUAGAGGUAGUUUGAGUCAGCUAUUAAUUAUAUACUAAUUGUUAUGAAGUGCUGGGUUCCUUUUGGAUUAUCUAAAGCUGUUUUGGUUUGACAUGUUGAAUCUGUUUGGUUUCCAACUCAUCCUGGGUUGUGCACUUGUUUCUGGGCUAUUUGUUUGUUAAUAUGCUUUGCUAUUGCUGCUGGAACUUCCUACUUACUAUUUUUGAUGUAUUACAGGUACAAACUUUGAACCUAUUGAGAUGUACAUAUUGAUUUAAAGAAGGAAUGAAAGGUAGUACUAAAAUCCUGGUAAUGUUUUGGUUGUGCUUGGCUAUGUUUCCUUCAUGAUGCUUAUGUACUGGUUUCUGUUCAAUUUGGAGAAUAGAGGCAGUUCGAGUCAACUAUUAGUUAUAUACUGAUCAUGAAUGAAGGAUUGGGCUCAUUUUGAAUGACUUGACGAUGUUUUGGUUUGUUUAGUUGAUUGUAAUGCUUUCCUGUUUGCAUUUCUAGGCCUGUUGGUGCUGUUUUGGGGAUUGAUAUGUAGUCUCUUUGGUUUAAAUCAUUUCUGGAGUCAUCAAGUUAUUUCUGGGCUAUGAUUGACUGUUUUGCUGCUGUUUGAAAUUCCAAAUCGCGGAUUGCUCUGCUAUUGCUAACCUCUUCCCCUUUCUACUUGAUUCUCUUCAGGUACACUACUUUGAGUUGCCUUGAUGUAUGCUCAUUGAAAUUGAAAUAAAAAUAUUUGAAGAUCUAUGUUCAGUUGGAGGCUUCCUGUUGUUGCUUUUUACUUGAUGUUAAUUAGUUGUUUUAUGAUUUUAACGACAGAUCUGUGUAUAAUUAGGACCAUUUCUGAAGUAGCUGGGACUCUAUAAGUAAAAGGACUAUUAAAUUGAAUUGUUUUUCUAAUAUUCUGAAAUCAGGAAUAUAGACUGUUAGACUAGUUAUAAUGGUUAUUCGCCAUUGGUCUUAGUAGCUUGGUUUUGGUUCUGUGCAAAUUAAUUGGUAAAAUCAGAAGGACAGCUGAAGUAGGAAUUGGUUUAUAGAUUUGUAACCACGCUUAUUAAUAGUUAAAAGGAGUGAAAUGUCUUGGACGAUACAACCUUCCAUUUCUACAUUCUUAAAUUGUCUGAGUAUGAACGCAAUGACAUUACUUAAUCAUUCUAGGAUGGUCGUUUAAGCCUCAUCAAUUGGUAGACUGUUAGCUUCUUAGAUUAAUAAUUGUCUGGAAUUAAAAUUCGUUUGGUUUGUGCUUGCUCCUCCUGGGACUCGACCACCCAGCUGGCUCCAUGUGGCCUAAUAGGGUUCACCUGCUUUGGGCCAAAAGCAGGUCCAGUAUAUAUAGUUAACGCGAAUUGGGUUUUUCACAAGCUUGGUUCAUUGGAGCAACAAUCAUAAAAUAAAUUCAUAAGGAUUGGGCCAUUUCAAAUGGAAUAAUUGUUUAGGAUUUCCUUUUAUUACUAUAGACAAAAAUAAGAUAGAAAAUCAUAGUUGCUUUUAGGUUGGAAUUUAAAUAAUAAAUGAGACGAGCCUCGCUCAAUAAAAAUGCAAAAUUGUGGGGCCCUCAAUAAUUGGUUAUUAAAAAUGAUUAGAAUUUGGAAGGGUCAUUUAGCGAAUUUCAACGGCCUUUCCCAGAACA